rnacentral:rRNA from 1 species
GCGGCAACAGCUCAAAUUUGAAAUCUGGCCCCCAGGGCCCGAGUUGUAAUUUGCAGAGGAUGCUUUUGGCGCGGUGCCUUCCGAGUUCCCUGGAACGGGACGCCAUAGAGGGUGAGAGCCCCGUCUGGUCGGACGCCUAGCCUGUGUAAAGCUCCUUCGACGAGUCGAGUAGUUUGGGAAUGCUGCUCUAAAUGGGAGGUAUAUGUCUUCUAAAGCUAAAUACCGGCCAGAGACCGAUAGCGCACAAGUAGAGUGAUCGAAAGAUGAAAAGCACUUUGAAAAGAGGGUUAAAUAGUACGUGAAAUUGUUGAAAGGGAAGCGCUUGUGACCAGACUUGGGCCCGGUGGAUCAUCCAGCGUUCUCGCUGGUGCACUCCGCCGGGUUCAGGCCAGCAUCAGUUCGCCGCGGGGGAAAAAGGCUUCGGGAACGUGGCUCCUACGGGAGUGUUAUAGCCCGUUGCAUAAUACCCUGGGGCGGACUGAGGUUCGCGCUCCGCAAGGAUGCUGGCGUAAUGGUCAUCAGCGACCCGU